CGGCGAAGCCCAGCACAGGUGUGCAUUUAGAACUGAAACAGCGUUUGGGACCAGACUCGCUUUAGAAGAACCUGACAGGGUGACCGGGACACCAGAAUGGAAAUCACUGAGAAAUAAUAAUAAAAGGGUUAGUCUACUCAAAAAUGAAAAUUCGUUUAUCUUUAUUAAAGUACUGUAUUAUGCCAUUCUGGAUAUUGCCAUUCAUGCAGUGUGUUAUGAAGCUGAAUUUGAAUGUAAAUGAUCUGCAAAGUUGUAAAGCCGAAAGUGCACAAUAAGUAAAGUUAUUGUCUCCGAAAAGAAAGAAUCGACUCUGAACAGCCGAAACGAGUAGUCAGUAAUUUGAAUCCUACUUCUGUGACGGCUUAACAUCACUGCUAACACAUCUGCAUUAUGCCUGCCUGUGUUCUACGAACAACUGGACCCGGACGCAAACCCUGCAGCUCGUUUGCAUGGUUAACAUCAUGUCUAGAAGACGCUGUGAAAGUAAAUCUGUUUUAUUUUCACUUCCAAAAGACGAGGCUGCAAAGAAUCAGUGGUUAAAUUCACAGCAGUACAACCCCAAUCUUGUUUGUGUUCCUGUCUCACAAACUCUUGCUCUGAGAGAUGAAUCAGUAUCCAGUUUAUUUGGACCUGCUGACUCCACUGAAUCACUACCUCGCUGGCUCUGACCUGAUGAGAGCUGAGCGGGGAUUGACUGCGGGCGACUGUGACCCUGAGGCCGUCUUCUCGAACACUGCAUCUCUGUUAUUACUGAUGAGGCCUGAUGUAAAUAAAGCCAGUCAUCAGAGCUUUCCUAAUCUGCUGGAGCCCAUGAUGGGAGAAGUGGAUUAAGAAAUCGCCCAUGAGAUAAAAGUCAGGAUCAGCUUCUCUGAGCUUGGCAUCAAUGUCUGUCAGCUGGCUCUGGAUCAGCAGCAUCUCCACCUCCAGCACAGUGCUCAUCACUUUGUUGUACCAGCUGGCUGUGAGCUCUUGAUUGGUCACAUACUGCCAUAGCAGCUCUCUGUUGAAAUAAAUGUCUGCAGCCAUAUCUGGGAUGACUCCA
ensembl:lncRNA